rnacentral:rRNA from 1 species
GACGAACGCUGGCGGCGUGCUUAACACAUGCAAGUCGAACGGAAAGGCCCUGCUUUUGUGGGUUGCUCGAGUGGCGAACGGGUGAGUAACACGUGAGUAACCUGCCCUUGACUUUGGGAUAACUUCAGGAAACUGGGGCUAAUACCGGAUAGGAGCUCCUGCUGCAUGGUGGGGGUUGGAAAGUUUCGGCGGUUGGGGAUGGACUCGCGGCUUAUCAGCUUGUUGGUGGGGUAGUGGCUUACCAAGGCUUUGACGGGUAGCCGGCCUGAGAGGGUGACCGGCCACAUUGGGACUGAGAUACGGCCCAGACUCCUACGGGAGGCAGCAGUGGGGAAUAUUGCACAAUGGGCGGAAGCCUGAUGCAGCAACGCCGCGUGCGUGAUGACGGCCUUCGGGUUGUAAACCGCUUUCGCCUGUGACGAAGCGUGAGUGACGGUAAUGGGUAAAGAAGCACCGGCUAACUACGUG